ensembl:snRNA U6 U6 spliceosomal RNA
AUGCUUGCUUGGGCAGCACAUACAUUAAUUUUGGAAAGAUAUGGAGAUUAGCAUGCCCCUGCCCAGGAUGACACACAAAUUUGUGAAGUGUUCCAUAAAAAG